UAUAAACAAACCAUUAUGCAAUGUUCCUUUUGUGAUGAUCUCAUCAUCUAAUAAUAUUGAAUAAUUAUUAUUCUCAAAAACUAAUUUAUAUCUACUAACUGUCAAACAUAAAAUAGGAAUAAUAUUUUUGAUAAUAGAAGGAACAAAAAUAACAUGCAUCUAAUGCAAUAAUAGCUCCACCAGGCAGAUGUAGGGCGACCUCGCCAAUAGCUACUGCAACAACUUUUACUCUAUUACCUAUUUUGAGGUCAAUCUCAC
rnacentral:lncRNA from 1 species